GAUGAACGCUAGCGGCAGGCCUAAUACAUGCAAGACGAACGGUAAGUUGAGUAGCAAUACUUAGCCAAGAGUGUCGUACGGGUGCGUAACACGUAUGCAACCUACCCUAUACAGGAGGAUAGCCUAGGGAAACCUGGAUUAACCCUUCAUAGUAUUAUUGGAUGGCAUCAUUUGAUAAUUAAAACUGAGGUGGUAUAGGAUGGGCAUGCGUCUGAUUAGUUAGUUGGCGGGGUAAUGGCCCACCAAGACGAUGAUCAGUAGGGGUUCUGAGAGGAAGAUCCCCCACACUGGCACUGAGAUACGGGCCAGACUCCUACGGGAGCAGCAGUAGGGAAUAUUGGUCAAUGGAUGCAAGUCUGAACCAGCCAUGCCGCGUGCAGGAAGAAGGCCUUCUGGGUUGUAAACUGCUUUUGCCAGGGGAUAAAAUUUCCAUGCGUGGAAAACUGAAGGUACCUGGUGAAUAAGCCACGGCUAACUACGUGCCAGCAGCCGCGGU
rnacentral:rRNA from 1 species